rnacentral:rRNA from 1 species
AUUGAACGCUGGCGGCAGGCCUAACACAUGCAAGUCGAACGAGUGGCGGACGGGUGAGUAAUGUCUGGGAAACUGCCUGAUGGAGGGGGAUAACUACUGGAAACGGUAGCUAAUACCGCAUACCAUCUGAUGUGCCCAGAUGGGAUUAGCUAGUAGGUGGGGGAAAGGCUCACCUAGGCGACGAUCCCUAGCUGGGCUGAGAGGAUGACCAGCCACACUGGAACUGAGACACGGUCCAGACUCCUACGGGAGGCAGCAGUGGGGAAUAUUGCACAAGGGGCGCAAGCCUGAUGCAGCCAUGCCGCGUGUAGGAAGAAGGCCUUCGGGUUGUAAAGUACUUGCAGCGUGGAGGCGUUACUCGCAGAAGAAGCACCGGCUAACUCCGUGCCAGCAGCCGCGGUAAUUC